GUGCUCGCUUCAGCAGCACAAAUACUGGAAUUGGAACGAUACAGAGAAGAUUAGCAUGGCCCAUGCACAAGGAUGUCAUGCAGAUUCGUGGUACAUUUCAUAUUUUU